UUGCUUUAAGAUAUUAUAUUUUAAGUUAAACCUGCCCAGUGAACAAAACAAUUUUAACGGCCGCAGUACUUUGACUGUGCUAAGGUAGCAUAAUAAAUUGACUUUUAAUUGAAGUCCGGAAUGAAAGGGUAAAUGAAAAUCAACUGUCUUUAAAUAUUUUUUUAAAACUUAUUUAAAAAGUGAAAAUACUUUUUAGUUUUAAUAAGACGAGAAGACCCUAUGAAUUAUUAUUAAUAUUAAUAAUACUAUUUAACAAAAUUUUUGUUGGGGCAACAAAUUUAGGAUUAAAAUACAACACAUUAAUCAAAUCUUUUUACAUGAAGAUAUUUUAUAAGUAAGAUUUAAAUUACCUUAGGGAUAACAGCAUAAUUAUAUUUUUAGAUUGUGACCUCGAUGUUGGAUUAAGGACAUUAAUUGUUAGCAAUUAUUAAUGAUAGUUCUGUUCGAACUUUUUACCUU
rnacentral:rRNA from 1 species